rnacentral:tRNA from 1 species
GGGGCGGUAGUUUAGCUUGGUAGAAUACUGUGUUCGGGUCACAGUGGUCAGGGGUUCAAUUCCCCUCUGCCCCA